GAGUUUGAUCAUGGCUCAGAACGAACGUUGAUGGCGUGCCUCAUACAUGCAAGUCGAGCGCCCCGCAAGGGGAGCGGCGAACGGGUGAGUAACACGUAAGGAAUCUGCCCUAAGGUGGGGAAUAACUAUCCCAACGGAUAGCUAAUACCGCAUAAGGAUGGGAGUGGCAUCACUCCUUCUCGAAAGAUUUAUCGCCUUAGGAUGACCUUGCGUCCCAUUAGCUUGUUGGCGGUGUAACGGACCACCAAGGCGACGAUGGGUAUCCGGCCUGAGAGGGUGUACGGACACAUUGGGACUGAGAUACGGCCCAGACUCCUACGGGAGGCAGCAGUAGGGAAUUUUGCGCAAUGGAGGCAACUCUGACGCAGCAACGCCAUGUGUGGGAUGAAGCAUUUCGGUGUGUAAACCACUGUCAGCAGGGAAUAAAUGGUCGCUUAGGCGGCAGUUGAAUGUACCUGCAAAGGAAGCCCCGG
rnacentral:rRNA from 1 species